GAAGAAGAGGAACGAGGAAGCGUUAUCAACGAGAAGUCCUGCUGGGUCUCACUGAGUCGGCGGAGAACAUCAGAUAUUUCACGAUCGACACGUUAUGGAUGACAUGAAGCACAAGCCAGAAGACAGUGAGAAGCUGAUGGGUUCUCCUGUCUGGAAAGUGAUCUGGAUUCCAAGUGGCCACACACGGGAGCCUUACUUGGAACGGAGUAUGUCAAAGGUUUAGUCAGCUGCUGCGGCCUGGACAGAAAAACCAGCUCUCACCUUAAACGUAAAGGUGUCCCCACUUCAUCCAUGAUCACAGAGUCUUCAUACAGCGAAGUUCUUUGAGACCAGGACUGAGGCCUGCAGGAUUCAACAACCACUAAAGCACAGAGAGAAGAGACAGAGACGUGAAGACAUUUCCAGAAGGUCUUCAGCUGCUGUCGUCUUCUCCUCCUGCAGAGACAAGAAAACCAAAAUAUUUUUAUGACAUACUAUAUUGACAUUUGACACU